GCGGCCUAUCAGCUUGUUGGUGAGGUAAUGGCUCACCAAGGCGACGACGGGUAGCCGGCCUGAGAGGGCGACCGGCCACACUGGGACUGAGACACGGCCCAGACUCCUACGGGAGGCAGCAGUGGGGAAUAUUGGGCAAUGGAGGGAACUCUGACCCAGCGACGCCGCGUGCGGGAUGAAGGCCUUCGGGUUGUAAACCGCUUUCAGCAAGGAAGAAGCGAAAGUGACGGUACUUGCAGAAGAAGCACCGGCUAACUGUGUGCCAGCAGCCGCGGUAAUACAUAGGGUGCAAGCGUUGUCCGGAAUUAUUGGGCGUAAAGAGCUCGUAGGUGGUUCGUCACGUCGGAUGUGAAAAUCUGGGGCUUAACCCCAGACCUGCAUUUGAUACGGGCGAGCUAGAGUGUGGUAGGGGAGACUGGAAUUCCU
rnacentral:rRNA from 1 species